UACGGGUGCCAGAAUCUCUUACUGUCAAUGCCCUCUCUAGGUCCCAAAACUCACCAUUUGCCCCCACCCCUUUUGCUUAAAUGACGUGGUUCUUAUCUCAGAUCCUGAUAUAAAGCUCCUACAGCUACCUGGCCUGAGAAGCCAACUCAGACUCAGCCAACAGAGAUUGUUGAUUUGCCUCUUAAGCAAGAGAUUCAUUGAAGCUCAGCAUGGCUCAGACCAGCUCAUACUUCAUGCUGAUCUCCUGCCUGAUGUUCCUGUCUCAGAGCCAAGGCCAAGAGGCCGAGACAGAGUUGCCCCAGGCCCGGAUCAGCUGCCCAGAAGGCACCAAUGCCUAUGGCUCCUACUGCUACUACUUUAAUGAAGACCGUGAGACCUGGGUUGAUGCAGAUGUGAGUGAGGAGAGCAGUGUGGGAAGGGAGGCUCAUGAAGGGAGGGGAAGCUGCCACUCUCCAGUGUGUUCAGUGGCUGCAAUGAGAUGAGACUGAACCCCUCGCUAUACUAUCAUCAGCCCCAAACUUUCCAAUCUACUUUAUCCCAUUAUUCAGCACAUUCCCAGCACAAAGAACCUGGUGGUCAGUGACAGCAUCAUCAUGGACAUUACUGUGCUGUCCUUUUUCUGACCCAUCCUCUUGGAGGACUCGGUAUAUCCCUCACACCUUCCUCCUCCACUGAGUGCUCCAUUUUCUUCUGCAACAGCUCUAUUGCCAAAACAUGAAUUCAGGCAACCUGGUGUCUGUGCUCACCCAGGCCGAGGGUGCCUUUGUGGCCUCACUGAUUAAGGAGAGUGGCACUGGUGACUUCAAUGUCUGGAUUGGCCUCCAUGACCCCAAAAAGGUAGGCUGCAGCCUUCUUUAUCUCCUAAUGAUCAGGUUUGAGAAGUAAGAAGGAGGUUCAAGUUCUGGUCUCUU
rnacentral:sRNA from 1 species